rnacentral:rRNA from 1 species
AGAGUUUGAUCCUGGCUCAGGAUGAACGCUAGCUACAGGCUUAACACAUGCAAGUCGAGGGGCAGCAUAUCGAAAGCUUGCUUUGAUGAUGGCGACCGGCGCACGGGUGAGUAACGCGUAUCCAACCUUCCCUAUACUAGAGGAUAGCCCGGCGAAAGUCGGAUUAAUACUCUAUGUUCUUCGUAGAAGGCAUCUGAAAUGAAGCAAAGGUUUACCGGUAUAGGAUGGGGAUGCGUCUGAUUAGGUUGUUGGCGGGGUAACGGCCCACCAAGCCUACGAUCAGUAGGGGUUCUGAGAGGAAGGUCCCCCACAUUGGAACUGAGACACGGUCCAAACUCCUACGGGAGGCAGCAGUGAGGAAUAUUGGUCAAUGGACGAGAGUCUGAACCAGCCAAGUAAGCGUGCAGGAUGACGGCCCUAUGGGUUGUAAACUGCUUUUAUACAGGGAUAAAGUGACGUACGUGUACGUUUUUGUAGGUACUGUAUGAAUAAGGACCGGCUAAUUCCGUGCCAGCCGCCGC